AGAGAUACUUUAGUCCUGCCUUCCCAGUUCCGCGCCCUGCACAAGCAGUUUUGAAAAAUUAAGUGCAAAAAAGCAUGACAAAGCACUAUGAGGUUGCCGUGCUCAGAUAAAACAGAAUGGAGCAGGAUCCGGGCUGCUCUCUACAUUGGGUUGGUCUUAUCAAGCGUGAAGUUUGGCGCAUUGCAAACCUAUUCAAGUGAUUAUCUGUUGAGGACCUCUCGAGCCAUCUCCAUCUCUGCAGCGGGCUGAUAAGACAGCUGUUUCUCUAGCCGCCGUGUCUCCCCGGGCCUCAGUCUUCUUCUGAUACAAACUCCGCCUUUGUCACCGUGCCCCGGAGUUUCAAGACAAAAUGUAAAGAGAAAAUGAAGGAUGUUUGUGAUCUUGCUCACUGCCGCUUCUGGCACUCUCCCGGAUGGAAAGUGUUUGCAACAUAAAGGGUCCUUUGCAAAAUAGUCUAAGAGGUCCCUUAUCUUCGGAUAAAAGACUUUACCCCUUUGCCAGUAGGUGGAUGGAGCCGA